rnacentral:lncRNA from 1 species
AAGCACUCUUAAUACUGGCUUUGCCAUUGUCCUUAACUUGCUUUUUAAUUAUGCAGGUGGUAAACUACCCAAGGACAGCAGAGAAGAGGGGAUACAUGCUCCCAGACAGGGUGGGCAAGGAGCCCUAAGGAGCAGGAUUGGUCCCAGCAGAAGAAAAGUGGACAACAAGAAAAGCCUUGGGAGCAGUAAUGACCAAUAAUGGUCACUUACCUGGAGUGUCCUAGUUAUUACUGCUUGGAUCAGUAAUGGUCCAAAGUCUUGACUGAAGGAAGAAAAUAAAGUCAAGGGAGAAACUGAAGACA